rnacentral:rRNA from 1 species
UACGGAGGGUGCAAGCGUUAUCCGGAUUCACUGGGUUAAAGGGUGCGUAGGCGGGCAGGUAAGUCAGUGGUGAAAUCUCCGGGCUUAACCCGGAACUGCCGUUGAUACUAUCUGUCUUGAAUAUCGUGGAGGUAAGCGGAAUAUGUCAUGUAGCGGUGAAAUGCUUAGAUAUGACAUAGAACACCCAUUGCGAAGGCAGCUUACUACACGAUCAUGACGCUGAGGCACGAAAGCGUGGGGAGCAAACAGG